rnacentral:rRNA from 1 species
AUUGAACGCUGGCGGCAGGCCUAACACAUGCAAGUCGAACGGUAACAGGAAGAAGCUUGCUUCUUUGCUGACGAGUGGCGGACGGGUGAGUAAUGUCUGGGAAACUGCCUGAUGGAGGGGGAUAACUACUGGAAACGGUAGCUAAUACCGCAUAACGUCGCAAGACCAAAGAGGGGGACCUUCGGGCCUCUUGCCAUCGGAUGUGCCCAGAUGGGAUUAGCUAGUAGGUGGGGUAACGGCUCACCUAGGCGACGAUCCCUAGCUGGUCUGAGAGGAUGACCAGCCACACUGGAACUGAGCCACGGUCCAGACUCCUACGGGAGGCAGCAGUGGGGAAUAUUGCACAAUGGGCGCAAGCCUGAUGCAGCCAUGCCGCGUGUAUGAAGAAGGCCUUCGGGUUGUAAAGUACUUUCAGCGGGGAGGAAGGGAGUAAAGUUAAUACCUUUGCUCAUUGACGUUACCCGCAGAAGAAGCACCGGCUAACUCCGUG